rnacentral:piRNA from 1 species
AUCGCAACAUGAACAUCCUGCAGU